GCUUAAAAUAUUAUUUUUAUUUUUUGUUAAUUUCAUAUUUAAUAGAAACAACUUUUUGGUUCAUGUGUCUAAGUAUGGUUUACAGAAUAGAUUUUUUUAAAUGAUAGUUUAAUAGUAACGUUAGUGGAUUAUGAAAUAUGUUUUAUAAGGCAUAAAUAAGUAUUUUUAUUUUAGAGUACCUUUUGUAUCAGGGUUGAUCAAAAUUUUUGUAAUUAUUUUGCAUAUCUCGAAUUGGGUUGAUUUACUUAGAAGUGAAGGUUACUGUGGAAUAUUUAUCUUUUAUUUUUAAGUGGAAAUGAUAUGUUAUUCGUUUCUCAAGUUAUCUAGUUUCUUAAGAAAAAAUUUAAUUUUUUAGGAUUUUUGGUCUUUUUUAAUUUUUUAAUUUAUACUAAAAUUCUGUUAAUUCUUUAGGGGAUAAGCUCUAAAGAGUAAUUUAUUCUAUAAUUUAUUAUUUUGAAUAUAAAAGUAGGCUUUGAACCAGCUAUCUUUUUGAUUGCGUUUUAGUUCAUUAGGUUUUAUUUUGAUUUUAUAGAUUUUUUAGAUUUUGUAUUAAGAUGAUGAAUUUAAUUUUAUAUUUUAUGAAAUAAUGAUUGAAUUAGUAUAGUUUAAUUGUUUAUUGUUUUUUCUUUGAAAAUUUAUUUUAAGGAACUAGGCAAUUUUAACUCUCGCCUGUUUAUCAAAAACAUGGCCUUUUUGAUAAUAAUUUAAGGUCUGACCUGCUCACUGACUUGUUUUGAAGAGCCGCGGUAUUUUUGACCGUGCAAAGGUAGCAUAAUCAUUAGUCUCUUAAUUAGAGGCUGGAAUGAAUGGUUUGACGAGGAGUUGACUGUCUCUAUUUAAUAUCUAGAAUUUAACUUUUGAGUUAAAAGGCUCAAAUUUUUCUUUAGGACGAGAAGACCCUAUAGAGCUUAAUAUAUUAUUUUUAUAUAGUUUAUAGUUUGUUUUCCUAUAUUUAGUUUAAUAUAUUUUGUUGGGGUGACAUGAAGGAUAAUUAAACCCUUCAUUAUAAAAUCAUUGAUUUAUGUUAUUUUGAUCCAUAAUUUAUGAUCAUAAGAUUAAGUUACCUUAGGGAUAACAGCGUAAUUGUUUUAGAGAGCUCAAAUCGACAAAGCAGAUUGCGACCUCGAUGUUGGAUUAAGAAAAAUGCUAGGUGCAGUAGUUUAGUAAUUAGGUCUGUUCGACCUUUAAAUUCUUACAUGAUCUGAGUUCAGACCGGCGUGAGCCAGGUCGGUUUCUAUCCUAAGAUAUAAAAAUUCAUAUUAGUACGAAAGGACCGUGUGAAUAGAAUAAUUUUAUUAUUUAUUGAUUAAUAUUAAUUAAUUAUU
rnacentral:rRNA from 1 species